rnacentral:rRNA from 1 species
CCUACGGGAGGCAGCAGUGGGGAAUUUUGGACAAUGGGCGCAAGCCUGAUCCAGCAAUGCCGCGUGAGUGAAGAAGGCCUUCGGGUUGUAAAGCUCUUUUGUCAGGGAAGAAAAGGGUGCGGCUAAUAUCUGCGCCUCAUGACGGUACCUGAAGAAUAAGCACCGGCUAACUACGUGCCAGCAGCCGCGGUAAUACGUAGGGUGCAAGCGUUAAUCGGAAUUACUGGGCGUAAAGCGUGCGCAGGCGGUUUUGUAAGACUGUCGUGAAAUCCCCGGGCUCAACCUGGGAAUGGCGAUGGUGACUGCAAGGCUAGAGUUUGGCAGAGGGGGGUAGAAUUCCACGUGUAGCAGUGAAAUGCGUAGAUAUGUGGAGGAACACCGAUGGCGAAGGCAGCCCCCUGGGUCAAAACUGACGCUCAUGCACGAAAGCGUGGGGAGCAAACAGGAUUAGAUACCCUGGUAGUCCACGCCCUAAACGAUGUCUACUAGUUGUCGGGUCUUAAUUGACUUGGUAACGCAGCUAACGCGUGAAGUAGACCGCCUGGGGAGUACGGUCGCAAGAUUAAAACUCAAAGGAUUGACGG